AAGUGAACAGGCAAGAGCUCAGAUUUGAAAGGCACUUUUGUGCCGUUGUAUUCUGAAGUUAGGGUCCUGAGAAACGAUGCUUAAGUCUUCUGGAAAGGAGCGCCAUGGAGGGUGAUAGCCCCGUCUAGCAUUGACCUCAUAUAGGAUCUUAACAUGGAGUCGAGUUGUUUGGGAAUGCAGCUCAAAUGGGUGGUAUGCUCCAUCUAAAGCUAAAUAUCUGCGAGAGACCGAUAGUAAACAAGUACUGUGAGGGAAAGAUGAAAAGAACUUUGAAAAGAGAGUGAAAAAGUACGUGAAAUUGUUGAAAUGGAAGGGUAGGCCGCUAACCAUGUAGAGCCGUGUUUGGGGGGAAGAUAAAUGCUGUAGAAUGUAGCUCCUCGGAGUAUUAUAGAUGCAGUUCAUAUUCCCACCCGAGCGCGAGGAUCUCAGGUUCUACUAAAUGGUGGUCU
rnacentral:rRNA from 1 species